UGUCCAUUCUUUAAAUAUCAAAAUAAUAAAUGCAUACAGAUUUUUAAAUUUACAAUAUUGUCGCUUGUAUCCAGGUAAAUUCAUUUUAAAAUUAUUUAAACUGUUGUGUAAAUUGUCAUUUUGGCAUCUUGAAAGAAUUUUUAAAUGUGAACAUCAAAAUGCUUUUAUUGAAUAGAAUCAUCUUUUGAAAACAAUGGAUGUCAAAGCACUGGCAUAAAAAAAAUCUAUUUGGUGGUGAAACAAUAUUUAUAUGUACUCCUUUUUUAUAUUGUAUUCUGAAAUUAUGAAGAAUUGAAUCUGUCCUAAUAACUUAAAGCUACAGCUGUGAUAAUUAGUAGACAACUUUUAUGCAUUUAUUUGUAAAUAUUGUGUUAGUAUGGCGUUCAUUAUCACUGAACUAGUAUAUAUUUGUUUAUAUAUAUUAUAGGAAGUUUAUUUUCUAUGGUAAACAUAGCUUUACAAUUUAUUUUUUAAUAAGGUCAAUGCAUGCAUUUGUCAGAUAAAAGUUAAUGAAUCUUUAUUUAUUAUUUAAUUGUACUUUCAUUGGUAGGAAACUGUAACAGUUAUAUGAAAUCUAGCCUACCUGGUGGUAGGUUGUUCUAUACAUCUAGUUUAUAAAUAAGCAAUAACUGGAGGUACCAAGAUGAAUUUAAAGGAUAAUGUGUAGUCUAUUUAUUCAUGCAUUGGCCAUUAAUUUGUUCUGUGAUAAAAGUUUAUCGACUAUAAUCAUUUUCACACAAUGAUUAAAUGGACAAUCAUUUUCAUAGCAAAAUAUGUUAGUUUUUUUACUGAAGAUUUUUUUAAUGUUAUUUAGAUUUUAAUGUUGUGUUUUUAUAUACCUUUUGCAUUUAGUUGAUCAAAAAUGUAUGCUUUGACUGUUCUAAUCUACACUUGUCAUGUUUUAAUAGGUGUAAUGAAAUAAGAUUAAACCAAUUUCUCUUGACUUUUCCCAUUUUUAAAGGCAUAAAAAAGAGACAACAUUUAGUGAUGCACAGAUAGAUAACAUGUUUGUAGUCACUAGGGGACACCUAAAUAUUGUCUUACAGCCUUUUGCAUUGAGUGUGUAGGUAAAGGUAAUAUCUUUGGUUAGGUAAACUAUCCUCCUUGAAGAGUAGACUUGUCCAACAGAUAACCAAUUUAUCUCUCUGUAGCUAUAUAUAGGCUACUUCAAAAAGAGGGUACUAUACCUAACAUAAUAAUGACUUCACGGUUCAGCUAGCAAGCAAGCUAAGCAAAGAUAUUACCUUUAUGUACACACUCAAUGCAAUGGGCUGUAAAUUAAUAAGAAAAUAGGUUACUAUGGUUUAAACUUGCAAUCAGAUUAUAGUUAAAAUAAAUGAUGUUCAAGGAUUUAGGAUUCUAGAAUUUUUUUCUGAGUAAUAUAUUUUUAUUAACCUUUAGAGGCCUAUGUGGCAGAGUGGUCUAUAAGUUAAACAAAUGCAUCACUAGCCUGUCUAAACUGAGGAAUUGAGUUCAAUUCCAGCAUGUGGCAAGUGCACUUGACUCCACUUUAAUUCAUAAGAAUUGUCAGUUUUCUUGGGGCACCUAGGCUUCCUCCACCAAAAAAAAAUUCCUGGCAUGAAAUAACACCAUAGUUUUGAAAGCAGCGUUAAACACCAAACAAUUAAUCGAGUUUACUCUUUAAAAUUUCAACCAUAGUUUCUGAAGGAAAGUAUAAUCUUCUGAGAGCAUAAAAUUCAAUUCAAUUUAAACUACUGCAAAAAGUGAUUGACAACCAUAAAUCCCUUAAACCCAGCAAAAAUACAUUAAUUUAUUCAAUUAUUUCAUUAAGUCUUAUUUAAAGACAUGAUAUUGGUGUCCCUUUUCUGACAAAAACUUGGGUUAAUCUGCUAUCUCAUUUUAAAGCUGUAACACCCCUGCUAUAAAUUCUAUAUAGAAAACUGAUUUAUUCCUCUGCAUAUAUAUCCAUUCUAGUUGCAUUUAUGAGUCUUGGUGGAAUUUUUUUUAGUAAAGAGAAAAAUAUGACAAUAAAUAAAGAAUAAACAGAAAAAUAAGGUUCUACAUGUAUAAAGAAUUGAGAAACAAAUGGCAUAUACUAAAAUGAAUAUCCCUAUCCAGACCCUCUUAUUUAUUGUUCUUAUUUUUUCAAAAGUUGAUAUAACAUUUAGAGCAAGAUAUGGUUUAUAUACUUCAAUUUUAAUGAAGUGCAGAUGUGAUUUUGAUAUCUGUUUUAGUAGGCUUUUAUAUUUUGUUAAGCAUUUGUUGUUUAAAGCAAGUUUAAUUUUAUAUUAACAAUUGAUUUUUAUUUUUUUUCUAUGCUCUUUAUUAUUUUUAUAAUUUUCCCAGUGAAUUAUGUAAACUAAUA
rnacentral:lncRNA from 1 species